rnacentral:lncRNA from 1 species
GUAAAUCAUCAAAACUAAGAAAUAAGAUGUUCUGCACUCGCUCUAACAACGGGAUAGUUAAAUGCAAGUUUAAGCUGUUGUAGACUUGCUUCCACUCGAAUGGCUUCUUGGAGGACAUCAGACCACCUAAAGCCACGAUUGCCAGAGGUAGGCCUUCACACUUUUCUACAACUUCCUCAGCCAAUGAUUGAAGUUCUGGUGGACAACAGUUAUUCUGGUAAGCUGAGAAUGCUUUGCUGCUGAAUAGCUCCCAAGCCUCAUUCUUUUUGAGGAGUUGAAUGUGGUGAAUAUGACUUUGUACUCCAAAAGAAGAGGAUGCUACGUCUUCUUUUCGAGUAGUAAGCAUGAUUCGACUUCCAAGCUGUGUAUUUGGGAGUGCAAUCCUAAUUUCUUUCCAAAGUUUGAUAUCCCAAACAUCAUCCAAUACAACCAUGUACCUUUUAGACUCCAAGUAAUUGACCAGCACCUGUAGCAAUUCUCUAUAUGUCAUGGAAUUCAUGUCUGCAGGGACCUUUUCCUUGUUUGCUUCGUGGAAUUCCUUAAUCAAGCUUCUAAACAAGUCGUCAAUCACAUAAGUUUGUGAAAUAGUUACCCAAGCACAACAGUGGAAUUGUUUCUUGACCCUUUCGUCGUUGAAGGUCUUUGCAACUAAAGUCGUCUUCCCUGAUCCGCCCAUCCCCACCACAGAGAGAAGCGUUUGCUGUUGCUCUCCAUUCAUCAACCAAUUGAUCAAUAGUUGCUUCUUUCUUUCAAUCCCCACGAGCUCAUCUUCCUUAAUAAAAAGAGAAGAUUCCGCUUGGUUCCGCAUCAAUUUGCUAACAUCAUCACAAGCACUACUUGUUCCUUCUAAUCCACCGACACCAUAUCUCUGAUUCCUAUCCGGAAUGGCUUUAAUCAUUAUUGAGAUUUUCCGCAACUUCUUUGACAUUUGACGUCUGAACCAAACAUUCUGUGGAAUGCGAAUAGUUUGGUGGAACCACCUUGCAAAUCGACCAUCAUGACAUCCUCGCUUAUACAUGUGAUACAUGAACUCGUCAAUGAUGUCUUCAACAUCAUAGGCCAUGCCUCUGACGCUUGCAACCCACGUCCUCCCACCUUCGCUGCGUACAUUCUUGCCCUCAGUAUCAUUGAGGAAGGCCGUCAUGCUUACAAGCUCCUGCUUGAUGUCAUCAAUUUCAUCACAAACACCGGCUAUGGAGGAUGCUUCGUUCUCAAGAAUGGUCACAAUUUUGCCAAUCAAGAGGUCUGUUGGCAAGGCCAUAAUUGGCCUUGUAUCCAAACUAGUUGCUCACAAUGGUAGAACGAAUUUGAAUAUAGGAAAGGUUGAAAGAUGAGCCAAAUGAAUCAAGUGACGAUUUCAGCUGGCAGUGGAGGCUCCUCCAAUGUGCAAGAAAUUUCAGUGAUUUGAAAUUGUAUCAGUGGAAGCUCCCUCUCUCUUUUUUUUUUAGUCAUAUUUGUUUGAGAUAUUUAGUGAUAUACCCAUUUCUAGCACUAAUAUUAUAAAUAAACCCUACACAAUUGAAUUCCUAUAAACAAACCCAAAAAAGACCCAAAAAAUGAUAGCUGGCCUUAUUGAAUUUAAUAUUGAUUAUUAAAUUACUUUGAUACCCUAUUGAGUGCUUUGAGUAUUUUUAUGAGAUUUUGGGAUUGGACUUGUUUUAAAAAAUUAAUGGCAGUUUUGUAAUUUAUAAGAAGUUAAAAGCUUUUUUGUUAUGUUGUAAAUGGGCUUUGGGUGUGUUUCUAAAGUCCAUUUUAUAUAGGAUAUUUUUAUAAUUUGGGCCCCCAUAUUGGAUAUAAUAGUGAAUCUCCCUAUUUGUUUUUCUUUCCUCUCUCCACUCCAUCUCUCAAAUUCUCAAGUGAUCAGUGGCAAAUGUCAUGUGAGAGUUCCAUACUAUUUUAUAAUUUCUCGAAGAAGAGAACAAAGAGGUCCAAUUCAAGAUGGGACAACCACCCAUUAAAAAAACUUCUUGCACUAUUACUACAAGUAAUGAUUCCUCUAUUGUUUAUUUCAUUUUAGCUGGCAAGAUCAGAUUAGAUGCUCAUUUUCUGAUUCAAUCUUUGAAACUGGUUCCUUGUUUUGUCAUAAUGUACGUGAUGCAACUUCAAUUAUUUUAUCCCUUUUUGUCGUAAUGUAUACGUCUACAAGUAAUGAUUCCUCUAUUAUUGUUACUUUUUUCUUCUUUUCAAUUUGCUUUCAUGUUUACAGCUGUUUUUUUUUUUUUUUUAAUAAUUGGUUGGCACAUCUUGAAUUGGACCUCUUUGUUCUCUCUAAGAAAUUAUAAAUGGAGUAGGCACAUCUUGAAUUGGACCUUUUCCUAUGUACCUAUAAGACGACAAUAUAUGGACAACUGCUCCAACAUAGAUAAUUAACAUUUUGUUUUAGGAAAUUGAUUUUCUCACUCUCAUUUUCUCCACUUACACUCCUUUUUAUUUUAUUUUCAAUACUUUUAAUCAAUUUUGUUCUUUUUUGUUCUUCUUUUUUCCUAUUCUACCAUUAUCCUACUUUAUUUCUUUUUUACUUCACUUUUAUAUUUUUUCUUUUUCUUUUUCUUUAUACUUAAUUUUUCAACUUGCACUAUAUUUUAAGUAUUCUUUUUCCUUUCAACAAAUAAAAAAUAAUUAACACUGUAUAUUUGUCUAGGCAACUCAGACUCUAAUGUUUGGUCUUCAUCUGUGGCUAACAUUUCACUAAAAAUUAAAGAGUAUUUGCUUUGGGUAGGAGAAGGAUUGUUCUAUUUUAUGAAUUGCUCUGAGAGUAGCUUUGGGUAGGAGAAGUGGAAAAGACAUGAUGAAUGAGAAGAAGCCGUUGUGACUUUUUUUUUUCUAUUAAAUUUUCUUAAUUUUAGUUAUCAAAACCUUAAUUCAAGAUAAGGGUAAAAUAGGAAAGAUAAAGAACAAAAAAGAACAAACUUGAUUAAAAAGUAUUAAAAAAUUAAAAGGGAGUGUAAGUGGAGAAAAGGAGAGUGAGAAAAUCAGCUCCCUUGUUUUAUAUCAACGUUAACGUCAUCUAGAUAUUGAGCCUCUACAUUUAGUGAUUGUGCAUUUACCUACAUUUCACAAGAUUUGAACUAUUAUAAUAAUCUAACCACUCAAGAUAUGACAUGUCAAUUUUUAAAUUUUGGCACUUAUCCAUAUAAUUAACUCCAACUUAACACCAUUAAGUCUAUAUAAAUUAAAAUAAGGAAAACAAAAACAAUAAAGAAAAAAUCAUAAACCUAUCAGCCACCCAUGACACACCCCUCUCCACCUCACUCAUGGCCUAUGUUGCAUAGACAUUCCACUAAGCUCAAGUUUCAAAGUGUCAGACUCCUGUGUUCAAAGAUCAACGUCAUGUCUACGGUCAGGACAAUCCCCAUCCAUGGUCAAGACACUCUCCGGACACGGGUCAACUCAUACUCAGGGCCAACUAAUAUAUUAAUUCAAUUAUAAUUCAUAUAAAAUCAAUAAACUACAUUUUGAAAGAGUUGGAAAGCUUAAAUUUCACCAUAUAGUAUCGUGAAAUUAUUAUAAAUUAUUAUUAUUUUAUUGGAUUGCAAUUAAGGUCGGGUAUUUGUUACUAUGGUAUAAAAAUACCAUUUUGCCCCUGCAUUUAAUAGAAAAAGUUAAUAAAAUUGACGGCAGGACCAUUUGUUCUAACGAAAGUGAAGUUAAAGGAUCACGGGAACCAUUUUAAAAAUUGAGGUACUCAAAUGCAAAUCGAGUCUAAAUUUAGGAACUAAUAAAACAAUUAACCCAAAAAGAAAAUAUGGGAUCCAUAAAUAAACUAUCUGAACAUUUUCUUCUGAAGAUGCGUUAAAACACAAAUUUGAAGCAGCUCAAGCCGGCCAUGUUCUAUUUUCUUACUUCGUUCUGCCUCUAGAACCUCUUGGGAUUUUCAAAAGUCAACUGGAGUUAUCCAAGUUCACAGACUUCAGAAUCUGAAAAUUAUAAUGUUGGAAUAUAGAAUAAUUUGUUUACAGGUAAUGAUGCCUCCUAACCAAAGAGAGAAUCCACAGAACCAUAUUCAUUCACUUUGGUCCUUUUGUUCCCUGCUUCUUGCUAAAUUAUUUGGAAAUGGAGUAGGCAGGGUUUUCAUUUUGUUCCUGAUUACACCGUUCCCCUGCCUUCUUGCAUUGUUAUUAUACUCUGAUGUUAUUUAGGAAAGAAGAACUUUUGGCAGUUUAUACUCCUUACAUAUUAAAUAAUCAGACACGAUUUUAUGAUAUUUUAGUAUAAAGUAUACAUUGAUUUAUUGAGGUAUCAAUAUUGGUAUAAACUGUAUCUUAUAUUAUAAUUGAAUUUUCAUAUUUUGAUUUGUUGGGAAUUUAAUUUUCUAGUAUUUUUAAUUAAAUCCAAAUUGGAGUUACUUCCUUGUUUAUAUUGUAAACUUAAAUAAAUGGAGUAAUAUAAAAAUAAAUUAAGUAAGAGCAGGCUCGGGCCGUACCCUUUCAAGCCUUAGCCUAGCCCAACCCAAAAAAUAAAAAAGUCCGACAAAGCCUAGCCCAAACCCAAAUAUUUUGGGUUGGACCUAGCCAGCCAACCAUAAUUGGAAGGAUGUAAUAUAUUUUAUGGAAGCAGCUUCUUUAGGCCUUUUUUUGUCCCACAAGGCGAGGUAUAACCCUUGAGGCGUUGAAGCGUAAUUCUUUGAGCAUAUACUAUUUUAUAGAGUGAAUAUAAAAAUACAGAUUAUAUGAGCCCCAUAUUAACCACUGUCAAAAUAUAUCUAAUAUAACCUAUUCAAUUAAUCCGAUAAAAGAUGCAUAUGAAUGAGUGUUAUUUUGGAAAAGAAAAAGUAUUAGAUAUGUCAUUAAGUGACCAUUAAUAACGCACACCCUUAUUAUUAAGGGCUUAUUUUGUUGGGCUUUAUAAUGGGCCUGUUUUUGAAAAGUUCAACUUGAAUGAAACUCAUUGCUACUUGAUGAUUGUUUCAUUCAAACGGACCAAAGGAGGCGUAUCAGAAGAAAUUUAGACAACUAACGGUACGUCGGAUUGUACUGACUAAUUUUUUGUUGGAUAGUAUUAAUAUGUUCCAGAGAGUACUGAUUGUUUAUCUAUAGUAUUAUAAGCCGUUUGGUAUUGUUCGGAUAAAUAGUCUAACUAAAUUAUACUGUGUUUGGUGCUCCGUCGGAUAACACGAUCGAAUAUUAUUAUUUUAAAUUAUAUGAUAAUUUAAGUGUAAAUUGAAAUUCAUAUAACAUAAAAAUCAAAAUUGUGAGAUACAAUGAUUACCUAAACCCAUAACAACUUGGGAGCACACUAAAGAUCUGGAUUCUUGACCAAUACAACUAAUACCCAUUGGUGAUGACAUAAAUUGUUUCUGGCAACAUUCAUAUGACUAGAUUUUUUUUCUUUUGUUUUUGCGAAGAUCUAAUAUAUUGUUGGCAAAUAAUUCAGAAAUGUAUACAAAGUUGAGGUAUGUAUAGUCUUGAUCAAAUUGUUAUUUGAAUUUUCUAGCUAAUUUUUUCUUUUUUAUAAGUUGAUUUUUCAACUCUUUGAUGUAAUUUUUAUUUUUUACUUUGGCUUUUUUUUAUAUUAUCAAAUUUGAGUUUGAGGUGAUGUUUGGUUAGAGAUUUUUGUAUAAUUUUCUAGUACUUUCAUCAUGGUUUUGACUUUUAGUUCCUCAAUUAUUAGUAGGUGCAUUUUUGCCCAGACUCUGCAUUAUAGUUUCAGCUUCUGCAUUGCAGUUUCCAUUUCCGUCCUAGUACUUUCAUCAUGUUUAUUUUUUCCCAUACUCUACAGUGCAAUUUUUGCUUCUAUAAAAUUAAUUGUUGUUUUUGUUUUUGUUUUUUUUUGGUCUGUUUACAGAAUUGAUAUCUACAUUGUAUUUUUGUGGCAGUUUCUGUUUUUAUUUGUAGUUCUUGUGUGAAUAUGUGUUGAAAUGAAUUUUUUAAUUUUUUUUUUUUAACAACCAUUGAUUAUUUAUAUAACUAAAUAAAUAUCACAAAAUUAAGUUAGGUGUAGUGGUUUGUGAAUGAGCCCUCCUUCUUUGAGGGUGCAGACGACGGUUGGCCGGAAGGAGGAUUGCCGGAUGUGGACAUGUGUGUAAUUUUGAUAUUUUUUAAUUAUAGUAUUGUAAAAUUAGCUACUAUAUGAUUGAUGAAAUAUCAAUUUUGUUAUUAAUAUAUAUUUUAAAUUUAUAUUAUUUUAAUCGCCAAUACAUACUUGUAUUCUAAUUUUUAGAGAUUUGACGUAUUGGCUUAUCGGCUUAUCGUAUCGUAUCAAGAUAGCCGUUCCUCUACCGGUGCAACAUAGAUAAACAUAGUAAUUUAUGUUUCUGUACAGAAGAAACUAACAAAGUCAAAAUAUUUCCAUAACGUUUUGAAGUUGUUCUCAAAAGCAAAUCCGGUGCCAAACAAAAGAAGAUGCAAUGGGAGCCUCAAGGGGACCAAGGUUUUCCGGGAUGCAGAAACAAGUCCUUAGUCUAUACAGAGGGUUUCUGAGGGCAGCCCGUGCGAAAUCUGCUGAAGAUCGACAGCAGAUUGAGUCACUUGUGUCAAGUGAGUUCCGCCGCAAUGCCAAGGAGGUAGACCGCAAAAAUUUCCUUUACAUUGAGUACUUGCUUCGCCGCGCUAAGAAACAGCUUGAUCAGCUCGGAGCCCCGAUGUUGUUGGAUUAUCAGCCCUGAAUGUCAGUUUCUCGCAGACAAAACAUCCUACAAAUUGAAGUAAGAAUUUCAUCUAUUCUCAUUUACUUGUCGAGCCAAAUUUAGUUUGAUCCAUUGUUUAAACAGGGUAACAGAGGAAAAUAAAUUUUUGGCUGAAUUUUCCAUGUUGCUAUAAAAUCUCAAUGUAAGCUAUUCAGAAAGCUCUAAAUUGUGCGAUUCAUUGAUGGUCAUGGUCUUCUAAGGCUAUGUGUAUUGAUUGUCUUCCAGAUAAUGAUAAUAAUAACUUAUUGGUCUUUGUUGAUAGUUCAAGUCCUGUUUUCUGUGUUGCUUAUUGUUCGUUAGACGAUAAAAAAAGACCAAUGAUUGAUUUGAGACAAGUUGCGAUAGAAGAUUGUGGUUUGUUUGAUGGGAGUGGUAAGCAAAUAUUACUUUUGAAAUAUAAUUCCAAGUUGCAUUUAGUAUUAACAGACUUGAAAUAAAAAAAUAUCCUGCGAAUGUGCUUCCCCAUUGUCCCCAACUUAAUGGCUCACUAAAGCAAGACCUCAAGCAAAGAAUGCUCAUUGCACAAAAGCAUCUUGAUUACAAUUAAAGCAGUCCAUUGUAUCAAAAGAAAAUGGUAUUGAAGAAAACCAUUGCUUUUCUUACUAUGAGCUUAUUAUUUUCAUGCGAUAUAAAAGAGGAUUUGCUUAUACUGCCCAAUCUUCCACCUAGUAUAACUGAUAUAUCUGUCUUAUAAAUCGAGACAAAUAAUAUGCAAAUGUGGGUUAAGUCAGUUGACCAAUGCAAUAAGUUGAACCCUUUGUACCCAAGUUCGAAUCCCCCUCCUUGUAAAUUAGAUUAAUUUAGAGACGAUUAUCGCUUGUAUUAAAAGAAAUAGAAACAUAUAUAUAGAAGUUUACCAGUUUUGAUCUCUCUUUUACAUUUUCUUUCUGAAUUUUAAUUUGUUAGUUUAUUUAUUUCAUCCACUUCAUCCCAUGAACAAUUAACCUAAAGAAGUGAACUUUAUGCGACUUCCUUUCACUCUUCCCCUAACGUGUGCUGCCUUCUAGACUACAUUGACUAUGAAGGAUGCUGCAUUUUAGGUUCAGAUUAAUCAAAGUAUACAUGCUCUGUUUAUUUAAUUGGGUAGCAGAAAUCUUCCUUUAAUGGGGGGCAAACUUAUAUAAAUAAUUAUAUGUCAGCACUCCUAUUCAAAGGAAAAUAUAUUUUAAUACAAGUUGGAAGGAGGGAGUGGACUUACAUGCAGAUGACAAGUACAGAGAGUUUGUUCACAUUUUCACUACAUCACUUGCUUCUGAGUUCAGAGAACCCAAGAUAUAUUUAAUCACCCACAUGUCAGUCUGAUAUAGUAAUGUAAGUGAGGGAACAUUUGCAGUUUGGUGUGAUUAAGAAAAGAUUUCUAAUUUCUUUCAUUUAUGGAGCACCAGAAUCCCCUACAAAGUUGAAAUGGUCAAUGAAAUUAUUUUGGAUUCUGCUAUAGUUAUGUCACUCUCUACUCUAAUUUUGGAUUAUUAUCUAUUGAUUUCCAUUUAAUUAUGUUAUCAACUCUAUUCUAUGUCUUGAUUUCAACUCAUAUCAGUCACCACACCAGAAAUUCUCUCAGAAAAUUUUCUUAGAGAGAUAGUAAGGGCAAUUCCAUUUCUGAUCAUAUGAUUUUGUGAUUACGAAGAUACAGUAGAAGAGCAAAUAUGGCCUCAACUGCAACCGAUCUCUUGAUUGGCAAAGUUGCAGGCAUCCUUGAGAGCGAAGCAUCCUCCAUAGUAGGUGUUCGUGAUCAAGUUGAUGAGAUUAAGCAAGAGCUUAUAAGCAUGAAAUCCUUCCUAAAGGAUGCUGAGGGGAAGAAACCGCAGACAGAAGGAGAGGAGACAUGGGUAGCUAGCGUGAGAGAUUUGGCCUAUGAUGUUGAAGAUAUCAUUGAUGAGUUCAUGUACCACAUGCAUGAGCAGCAGAGUGGGGGUUAGAUUUGCAAGCUUGCUCCGCAGAACCAUUUGCUUUCCAAACCAUUGGAACAGAGGUCGAUUUGCAAGGUGGCUCCACAGAACCAGACACAACCCAAAGUAUCUUUGGUAUAGGAGUCGAUUUGCAAGGUGGCUCCACAAAACCAUUCACAUUCCAAAGUAUAGGGGUCGAUUUGCAAGCUGCCUCCACAAAGCCAUUCACAUUCCAAAGAAACUUUGGUAUAGGCGUCAAAUUGGCAAAAAGUUACAGAAAAUCACAAAAACCAUCAAGGACAUUACAGAGAGGAAUCAAAGAUACGAUAUUGAUCCCCUAGAAGGAACAAGUUCAGAUGACAUUAAAAAAUGGGUGAAAAACCAAGCAGAGUCUUCCCUUUUUAUUAAGGAAGACGAACUUGUGGGGAUUGAAGACAAGAAGCAAAUAUUGAUGGGAUGGCUGAUGAACGGAGAGCAACAACAAGCGGUUAUCUCUGUGGUCGGAAUGGGAGGAUCAGGGAAGACAACUCUAGUUGCAAAAACCUUCCCCAGUGAAAGUGUGAAGAGACAUUUCAGCUGUUAUGCGUGGAUUACGGCUUCCCAAAGUUAUGUGAUUGAAGAUUUGUUUAGAAGCUUGAUCAAGGAAGUCCACCAAGCAACGAAGGAAGAGGUCCCUGCAGCUGCAGACUUAAAUUCCAUGAGCUAUAGGGAAUUGCUACAUAUACUCGUAACCUACUUGGAGUCUAGAAGGUACCUAGUUGUGUUGGAUGACGUGUGGGAUAUAAAACUUUUGAAAGAAAUGAGGAUAGCACUUCCAAAUAGACAGCUUGGAAGUCGAAUCAUGCUCACUACUCGAAAAGAAGACCUAGCCUUCUAUUCUUUUGGAGUAGAAAGCCAUGUUCAUCGUAUUCAACCGUUGGAAAAGAAUGAGGCUUGGGAGCUCUUCAGCAAGAAAGCAUUCUCAACUUACCAUAAGAAACGUUGUCCACCAGAGCUUGAAUCAUCAGCUUGGGAACUUUUGGGGAAAUGUAAAGGUCUACCCCUAGCAAUCGUAGCUUUAGGUGGUCUUACGUCUUCCAAGGAGUCAUCUACGGAGUGGAGAAAAGUCUGCAACAGCAUAAAUUGGCAUCUAAUAAAUGAUCAUUUCCUAGAACCUUUGAAGACAAUCUUGUUUCUCAGUUUCAACGAUUUGCCAUAUCGACUGAAACAUUGCUUCCUAUAUUGUUCAAUUUUCCCAGAAGAUUAUUUGAUUCGAGCAGAAAGGCUUAUUAGAUUGUGGAUAGCUGAAGGCUUCGUUGAACAUGUUAAAGGGGUCACACUGGAAGAAGUUUCUGAGAGCUAUCUUAUGGAACUCAAUUUUCGUAGCAUGUUGCAGGUUGUAAGGUGUCCAACUAUAAGACAAGCAUGUAAGAUGCACGAUCUUAUGCGGGAGCUUGCUUUGUCCACAUUAGAAAAAGAAAAGUUUUGUGUUGUCUAUGAUGGUAGAGAAGUAAUGGAAGAAAUCAGAGCUCGUCGUUUGUCAAUUCAGACAUCUGAAGGAGAAAUUAAAGUAUGCAAAGGUAUGUCGCAGCUUCAUUCAUUUCAUGUGUUUGUCACUGGUGUAUUCUGGCCGUCUAUUUCAAGUACAUUGCUUUCUCAAUUCAAAUUGUUGAGGAUUCUAGAUUUGGAGAAUGUACCAAUUGAAGAACUGCCUGAUGGUCUUAUGUACUUAUUCAACUUAAGAUAUUUAAGUUUGAGUAGAACUUCAAUUAAAAGACUUCCAGAAUCCAUAGGACAGCUUUGCAAUCUUCAAACCUUAGACAUCAGCGACACAGAGAUUGAAACACUUCCGAAAGAAAUUGCCAAGUUGGUAAACCUACGCCAUCUAAUUAUGUAUUGAUACAGUGGAGCAUCUUGGGAAUUUAGAUAUGCUAAAGGGAUUAGAGCACCAUCCAAUAUUUGUAUGUUGAAAACAUUGCAAGUUUUGUCAUUUGUUGAAUCAGACUCGGAAGGAAACUUUUUUAAACUUGUUGGGAACAUGACCCAACUUACUCACAUUGGCAUUACAAAUGUAAAAGGAAGUAAUGAGAUGAACCUUUGUGCUUCCAUUCAAAAGAUGAAGCUCCUUUGCUACCUGUAUUUAUUGGUUACAAGAGAAGAGGAAUUUCUUCGAAUCGAUGCAUUUGCUUCUCUUCCAGGUCCUCCGCCACACCUUCAAAGGCUUCUUUUGAGCGGCAAACUAGCAACUGUACCAAGUUGGUUUGCUUCACUCAGGAGCCUCACAGAUAUCAGUCUACGUUGGUCCAGACUUAAAGAAGAUGUACUACCACACAUUGAAGCACUGCUCUGUCUUAGAAGGCUUAUCCUUGUUAAUGCAUAUGUUGGGAAUGAGUUGUGCUUCAAUAUAGGCUUUGCAAGGCUGACACAUCUGGAGUUGCUUAAUUUCCCCUGCUUGAAAAAUAUAACAAUAGAAGAAGGUGUGAUGCCGAAACUCCAGUUGUUAAUACUUCAUUGCUGCAUGAAAUUAAAGGCAUUACCACAUGGUCUUGAAUUCCUUAGGAAUCUAGAAACAUUGAGAUUGGGGUCUGUUCCGAUGAAAAUUAUAGAAAAUAUACGAGAAGGAGGCUUGGAUCAUCCAAAGGUACAACACAUCCACGAAAUUGACCAAAUUUAUGAAACAUCAUCUGCAACUUUUUCUGCAAGGUGAAAGCUUGCCCCAUGAUUCUUGCCCCACACCGUAAGUUUUCUGUCCUUCCAUUGACUUUCCAAAGCUUAAUCAUUUUAGAUCCUUUAACUACUGCUAUAUAAGCCACUUUUCAUUUACAAGUCUGUUAUAUGUGCAUUCAUUUUAUUUUGAUUAUGUUGUUGCUCUGUCUCGUCAUAUCCCUUUACAGACUCAAAUUGGAGAAGAUGGAAAGACUGAGCGUACGUCAUAUCAUUUUAUUUUGAUUAUGGUCCAAAGAUGAAUUUGUGUGAAGAUGGAAAGACUGAGCUUCUUGUUUUGCACUACUUAAUAUUUGUAUUUUCUGUAUCUGCUAUUUUCUGAUCAAAUGUUGUUUGUACUCUAGCUUGGCUGAUUAAACAAUUCCUAGUGCUUUCACUGCUGAUUUUUAUUUAAUAUAUAUUUUUUAAUCUCAUUAAGAGUGAGUUUUUUAUAUAUUAUUUUUUAUUAUAAUGAGUUUGAAUAUUGUGCUAUUAUUACCAACAUUAUUAGAAUUAUUAUUACUUUUACAAUUCAUUAUGCAAUGCAACUACACUACUAGUCAAGAGCUCAUCAGGUUUCUUCAACCUGUGGUAUCCUUGCAAAUCCAUCACAGUUCUACAAGAUUCUUAAAUAAUUCAAUUGUCUCAGACAUUAAUAAAGAUUCAUCCUUAAAUCUUCUCAAAAACCACCAGCAUGUGACUUCUCCAGCGUUAGCCAAGAAUUAAGCUUUUAAAUAGUCUCGUUCAUAAUUUGAAGCAGCUCAGGCCGUUCAGCCAUGCUUUCUAUUUUCUUACCUAGUUUCUGCGUCUGGAAGCUCUUUUGAUUUUCAAAAGUCAACUGGAGUUAUCCAGUGAUGAUUCCUUAGAACCUGGAAUUUAUAAUGUAAAAAUAUGGAAAACUUUUAUUACAAGUGAUGAUUCCUCCAUGGAGGCCCUAAGCAAAGUGAGAAUCCACAGAACCAUUUUCAUUCACUUUGCUCAUUUUGUUCCCUGCUUUGCUAAAUUAUUUGGAAAUGAAGUAGGCAGGCUUUUCAUUUUCUCCCUGAUUUCACCUUGCCCCUGCCGUGCAUUGUUACUGAUGUUAUUUAUUGGGCAGGAAACUCUCAAAAUAAAAUUGAGCAUUAGAUCCUGAUUAGUGCUUCUUAAGGCAUUACAUAAUCAAAUAGCAAACACACUCACCAAUCAAAUUACAUAAGAUUCCAUAGUCUCAAAAUAAAACUCAUUAAUGAUCAAAUGGCUUCAAAUAAAACUUGAGAUAGUGAUGGAAAAUAAUUAAAAUUUGUAGCCUCACACAAGGAAGCAAGGGUUCUUCUACGCGCAACAGGGUAAAAUCUUUCCGUCUCGGACUAGAUUCUGCAUAGCAAACAACAAAAGCAAAAUGAUAAUCAAAUAGAAUUUCAAUACAAAAAUCUUGUGCUAUCGAAACUAACUAUUGCAGAAUAGUAUUUAGUCCGUGGACAAAAAAUACAUGGCCUUAACAAACUUGUGGAUGACAAGACAACAGUUCGUACUAAAAUAGUUUAUAUGAUGCAAGAUUAGGGAACUCUAGGCAUAUAAAAAAAAACGAAAAAGGAAAAACAAGGAGACAGCAAAAACAAAAAACAAAAAACAAAAACUUUACAUACCUCCUUCCAAAACAACUAGGACAAGCUUUCACGACACAUCCCCAGUGACGUUUUGUAAAUAUGGUAGAUCUCAGGGAUGUGUUGUACCUUUUCACGAUCCACACCUCCUUCUCGUAUGGAAUCCUUAAGUUCCUUUGGUACAACCACCAAUGACAUUUCUUUUAGUUUAGUGAGGUAUUGAAGACCCUGUGGCGUUGUGCUUAGUUCUGGGCAGUUAUCAAUCCUUAAGGAUUGGAGAUUUGACAUCACCCCUUUUUCUAUAGUUACCUUGUUCAAUAAGGGGCAAGUACACAAUUCCAAUCUCGUAAGCUUUACAAAGCCUCUGCUGAAACAUAACUCUCUGCCAGCAUAUCCAUUAAUAAGUACAAGAUAUCCCAGAUUGGGUAGUGCUUCAAUGUAAGGUAGCAAAUCUUCUUCAAUUCUAGACCAAUGCAGUUGCAAUUGUAUGAGGCUCUGGAGUGAAAAGAACCAACGUGGCACAAUUUCCAAUUUGCCAACCAAAACAAGAGUUUGAAGGUGGGGAGGAGGUGAGCAUAGUGCGUUUGUUUGAAGAACUUCCUCUUCAUCGCUUGUCUUCAGAACCAACUGGUGAAGGAGCUUCAUCUUUUGAAUUGAGGCACAUAGGUCCAUCUCGUCUCUUUCUUUUACAUUUGAAAUUCCAAUCCUUCUAAGUUGGGUCAUAUUCCCCACAAGUUUAACAAUGUUUCCUUCUAAUUCAACACACGCCAAAACUUGCAAUUUCUUCAACAUACAUAUAUUUGAUGGUGAUCUUGUCCCAUUCAGAUAUCUGAAGCCCCUAUGCUCUUCAGUGCGACGAUACAUAAUUAGAUGGCGCAGGUUUUGCAACUUGGCAAUUCCACUUGGAAGUACCUCUAUCUUUGAGUCCCUGAUAUCCAAAGUUUGAAGGUUGCUGAGCUUUCCAAUGGAUUCAGGAAGCUUCUUAACUGGAGUUCCCCUUAAAUUUAAGUAUCUUAAAUUGAAUAAGUACUCAAGUUCUUUUGGCAGUAUAUCAAUUGGAACAUAUUGCAAAUCUAGCACCCUCAACAAUUUGCAUCCAGAAGGCAAUGUAUUCGAGGAAGAGGAUGAGGACACGUCAGUAACAAACACAAGAAAAGAACGAAGUUGUGCCACACCAGUGCCUAGUUUAAUUUCUCCUCCUCCAGUGGUUUGAGUUGACAAGCGGCGCACUUGAACUUCUUCCAUAACUUCUUUUCCAUCAUAUACAGCACCGAACUUUUCUUUUUCUGAUUUAGACAGAGCAAGCUUCCGCAUAAGGUCGUGCAUCUUACAUGCUUUUGGCCUUCCACUUUCAUUCCUCUGAACAACAUGUAGCAUGCUACGGAAAAUGAGCUGCAUAAGAUAGCUCUCAGCAACUUCUUCUGGUGUGGCGCCUUUUUCAUCUUGAAUAAACCCUUCAGCUAUCCACAUCCUAAUGAGCCUCUUUCUUCGAAUCAAAUAGUCUUCUGGGAAAAGGGAACAGUAUAGAAAACAGUGCUUCAAUGGGUAUGGUAAAUCAUCAAAACUAAGAAAUAAGAUGUUCUCCACUCGCUCUAACAACGGGAUAGUUAAAUGCAAGUUUAAGCAGUUGUAGACUUGCUUCCACUCGAAUGGCUUCUUGGAGGACAUCAGACCAGCUAAAGCCACGAUUGCCAGAGGUAGGCCUUCACACUUUUCUACAACUUCCUCAGCCAAUGAUUGAAGUUCUGGUGGACAACAGUUAUUCUGGUAAGCUGAGAAUGCUUUGCUGCUGAAUAGCUCCCAAGCAUCAUUCAUUUCGAGGAGUUGAAUGUGGUGAAUAUGAC